rnacentral:rRNA from 1 species
CCUACGGGAGGCAGCAGUGAGGAAUAUUGGUCAAUGGCCGGAAGGCUGAACCAGCCAUGCCGCGUGAAGGUCAGUGCCCUAUGGGCGUUAAACUUCUUUUGUGCGGGAGCAAUAAUGGUCACGUGUGGCCAGACGAGAGUACCGUACGAAUAAGCAUCGGCUAACUCCGUGCCAGCAGCCGCGGUUAUACGGGGGAUGCAAGCGUUAUCCGGAGUUUUUGGGUUUAAAGGGGGCGUAGGCUGUGAGGUAAGUCAUCGGUGAAAUGCCCCCGCUCAACGGGGUGAAGUGCCAUUGAUACUGCCAUGCUGGAAUGCGGAUGCCGUGGGAGGAAUGUGUGGUGUAGCGGUGAAAUGCAUAGAUAUCACACAGAACACCGAUUGCGAAGGCAUCUCACGAAUCCGCGAUUGACGCUGAUGCACGAAAGCGUGGGUAUCAAACAGGAUUAGAUACCCUUGUAGUC